rnacentral:rRNA from 1 species
UACGUAGGGGGCAAGCGUUGUCCGGAUUUAUUGGGCGUAAAGAGCGUGUAGGCGGCCUGAAAGGUCAGCUGUGAAAACUCGAGGCUCAACCUCGAGACGUCGGUUGAAACCAUCUGGCUAGAGUCCGGAAGAGGAGAGUGGAAUUCCCGGUGUAGCGGUGAAAUGCGCAGAUAUCGGGAAGAACACCUAUGGCGAAGGCAGCUCCCUGGGACGGUACUGACGCUGAGACGCGAAAGCGUGGGGAGCGAACAGG